rnacentral:rRNA from 1 species
AACGCGAAGAACCUUACCCAGGCUCGAAAUGUAAAGGACGGUAUCAGAGAUGAUACUUUCCGCAAGGACUUUUAUAUAGGUGCUGCAUGGCUGUCGUCAGCUCGUGCCGUGAGGUGUUGGGUUAAGUCCCGCAACGAGCGCAACCCUUAUCAUUAGUUGCCAACACGCGAGGUGGGGACUCUAAUGAGACUGCCUGGGUUAACCAGGAGGAAGGUGAGGAUGAUGUCAAGUCCGCAUGGCCUUUAUGUCUGGGGCUACACACGUGCUACAAUGGUCGGUACAGAAGGCAGCAAGACCGCAAGGUGGAGCAAAUCCGAAAAGCCGAUCACAGUUCAGAUUGUAGUCUGCAACUCGACUACAUGAAGUUGGAAUUGCUAGUAAUGACGUGUCAGCAACAACGUCGUGAAUACGUUCCCGGGCUUGUA